GAUAUGAAUUGGCGUAGCAUAUAUGUAUAUAUAUACAUGGAUUCAUAGGAUAAAGGGAGGAGCAGUGUGUCAAUUUAAUUAUAUCAAUAAUCUUGACUGAAUGUAUGCUUUGGUGACUUUCGUAAAAGCGAGAGGGAGAACCAUGAAGUCUUGGUGUUUAUCUAAAUAAGUUUAUGAUCACACAUUCUACUGGGGUUAUUAAUAAGGUUCGGCUAGGUAAUAUUCAAGAGACGACUAAAGAAAAAUACUCUGCUAUCUAUACUCCUUCACCAUAAGUUUUCAAGGAUCAAAGUUGCAAUCAUACUCUUUUUCGAGAUUUAUUAAGAGACUAGUGACGGGAUAACAAGCCUUAAUUAGCAGCGGGUUUUGAGGCAAUAGACAGGGAACAUUGAAUGUAAGUUUGAUGAUCUGGGUCAGUUCUGGUAUGUAUACUGCGAGGGGCUAUGGACGAGCAGACGGCCUAGAACGCCGGUCUUGGUUUUGUUUUUUUUAUAGUAAAGUAUUAUGAGCUCAGCGGGAUGUUGUAAAUUUAUUUUAAAACUUCACUUAACUACUUAUUUUAUUUUUAAUAUGAAUGAUCAUUCGUCUUUUACA